AGGUCUAACCUGCUMAUGAUAUAUAUAUAUAUAUUAAAUAGCUGCGGUAUAUUGACCGUGCAAAGGUAGCAUAAUCAUUAGUUUUUUAAAUGAAAGCUGGCAUGAAAGGUUUAAUAAGAAAAUAGCUGUCUCUAUUUAAAUUUUUUUGAAAUUUAUUUUUAAGUUAAAAAGCUUAAAUGAUUAUAAAAGACGAGAAGACCCUAUAGAGUUUUAUAAUAAAAAGAAUAAAUAAUAAUUUAGGAUUUUAAAAUUUAUUAUAAAAAUUAUUUAKUUGGGGUGAUUGAAAAAUUUGAUAAACUUUUUUUUUARAAAGCCAUUUAUUUUUGAAUAUUUGAUCCUUGUUUUAAGAUUAUAAGAUAAAAUUACCUUAGGGAUAACAGCGUAWUUUUUUAAAAAGUCCUUAUUAWAAAGAAAGAUUGCGACCUCGAUGUUGGAUUAAAARAAAUUAUUGGUGUAWAAGCUAAUAAAUUAGGUCUGUUCGACCUUUAAAAUUUUACAUGAUCUGAGUUUAGACCGGCGUGAGCCAGGU
rnacentral:rRNA from 1 species